rnacentral:rRNA from 1 species
GGGAGGCAGCAGUGAGGAAUAUUGCGCAAUGGGCGAAAGCCUGACGCAGCCACGCCGCGUGAGUGAUGAAGGCCUUCGGGUCGUAAAGCUCUGUCAAGCGGAAAGAAAUCCCUCUGGCUAACAUCCAGGGGUGAUGACGGUACCGCUAAAGGAAGCACCGGCUAACUCCGUGCCAGCAGCCGCGGUAAUACGGAGGGUGCAAGCGUUGUUCGGAAUCAUUGGGCGUAAAGAGCGCGUAGGCGGCUUGCUAAGUCAGAUGUGAAAUCCUCGGGCUUAACCCGAGAAGUGCAUUUGAUACUGGCGAGCUUGAGUACGGGAGAGGGAGGUAGAAUUCCCAGUGUAGAGGCGAAAUUCGUUGAUAUUGGGAGGAAUACCGGUGGCGAAAGCGGCCUCCUGGACCGAUACUGACGCUGAGGCGCGAAAGCGUGGGGAGCAAACAGGAUUAGAUACCCUCGU